GUAGUCUCGCACAGAUGCAUAUCAAUAAGCGGAGGAAAAGAAACUAACAAGGAUUCCCCUAGUAACGGCGAGUGAAGCGGGAAGAGCUCAAAUUUGAGAUCUUAAAGGGUUUCCCUUUACGAAUUGUAGUUUAAAGAAGUGUUUUCUGUUGAGGUUUUGGUAAAAGUUCUUUGGAAUAGGACAUCAUAGAGGGUGAGAAUCCCGUAUUUGACCUUUACUUUCAACUUUGUGAUACACUUUCAAAGAGUCGGAUUGUUUGGGAAUGCAGUCCAAAAUGGGUGGUAAAUUUCAUCUAAAGCUAAAUAUUGGCGAGAGACCGAUAGCGAACAAGUACCGUGAGGGAAAGAUGAAAAGAACUUUGAAAAGAGAGUUAAACAGUACGUGAAAUUGUCAAAAGGGAAGCGUUUGACACCAGUGUUGUUUUUCUGAAAAUCAAUUAAAGAACUGUUUAUGCUAAGCUGUUUAGACUUUAUCAGCUAAUCUGUUUAGUUUUGAGCUUUUCUUUAAUGCACUUUUCAGUUAACAAGUCAACAUCAAUUUCUUUUGCUGUAAAAAAGCUUGAGGAAGGUGGCUUGAGAUUCGUCUUAAGUGUUUAUAGCCUCUUGCCUAUGCAGUCGGAGAGAUUGAGGUCUGCAGCGUAGAUCCUUCGGGGCUAAAUGCAUUUGUGCUAAGUUAUAGCAUUUUAUAGACAACUUGUUGACUAUGAUUUGUCUUGUAGCUUACUCGCUUAUGUUAUUUUACCUACGCUUAGGAUGUUGAUCUGUAGUGCGUGCGC
rnacentral:rRNA from 1 species